CAAUAGCGUAUAUUUAAGUUGUUGCAGUUAAAAAGCUCGUAGUUGGAUUUCGGGCGGGGUUGGCCGGUCCGCCGUUUCGGUGUGCACUGGCUGGUUUCGUCUUUUUGUCGAGGACGCGCUUCUGGCCUUUAUUGGUCGGGACGCGGAGUCGGCGCAGUUACUUUGAAAAAAUACAGAGUGUUUCAAGCAGGCAGCUCGCUCUUGCAUGGAUUAGCAUGGGAUAAUGAAAUAGGACUCUGGUGCUAUUUUGUUGGUUUCGAACACCGGAGUAAUGAUUAACAGGGACAGUCAGGGGCGACUCGUAUUCCGUCGAGAGAGGUGAAAUCUCAGACCAAU
rnacentral:rRNA from 1 species